rnacentral:rRNA from 1 species
CAGCAGCCGCGGUAAUACGGGGGGAGCAAGCGUUGUUCGGAUUUACUGGGCGUAAAGGGCGCGUAGGCGGCCACCGCAAGUCGACUGUGAAAUCUCCGGGCUUAACCCGGAAAGGUCAGCCGAUACUGCGGGGCUAGAGUGCAGAAGGGGCAACUGGAAUUCUCGGUGUAGCGGUGAAAUGCGUAGAUAUCGAGAGGAACACCUGCGGCGAAGGCGGGUUGCUGGGCUGACACUGACGCUGAGGCGCGAAAGCUAGGGGAGCGAACGGGAUUAGAUACCCCGGUAGUCCUAGCCUUAAACGAUGAAUGCUUGGUGUCUGGGGUUUUAUAGUCCCCGGGUGCCGUCGCUAACGCUUUAAGCAUUCCGCCUGGGGAGUACGGUCGCAAGACUGAAACUCAAAGGAAUUGACGG